GACGAACGCUGGCGGCGUGCUUAACACAUGCAAGUCGAACGGUGAAGGGAUCAGCUUGCUGGUUCUGGAUGAGUGGCGAACGGGUGAGUAACACGUGAGUAACCUGCCCCCUUCUUCUGGAUAACCGCAUGAAAGUGUGGCUAAUACGGGAUAUUCUGCGCCUGCUGCAUGGUGGGUGUGGGAAAGAUAUUGUUUCGGUGGGGGAUGGGCUCGCGGCCUAUCAGCUUGUUGGUGGGGUGAUGGCCUACCAAGGCGGUGACGGGUAGCCGGCCUGAGAGGGUGGACGGUCGCACUGGGACUGAGACACGGACCAGAAUGGUACGGGAGGCAGCAGUGGGGAAUAUUGCACGAUGGGCGCAAGCCUGAUGCAGCGACGCCGCGUGAGGGAUGGAGGCCUUCGGGUUGUGAACCUCUUUCGCCAGUGAAGCAGGCCUGUCCCUUGUGGGUGGGUUGACGGUAGCUGGAUAAGAAGCGCCGGCUAACUACGUG
rnacentral:rRNA from 1 species